rnacentral:rRNA from 1 species
UACAGAGGGGGCAAGCGUUGUUCGGAAUUACUGGGCGUAAAGGGCGCGUAGGCGGCCUGUUAAGUCGGACGUGAAAUCCCUCGGCUCAACCGGGGAACUGCGUCUGAUACUGGCGGGCUUGAAUUCGGGAGAGGGAUGUGGAAUUCCAGGUGUAGCGGUGAAAUGCGUAGAUAUCAAGCGGAACACCGGUGGCGAAGGCGGCCUUCUGGACAGUGACUGACGCUGAGACGCGAAAGCGUGGGGAGCAAACAGG